rnacentral:lncRNA from 1 species
CUGCAUAUUCUUAGCACUUUGGGCACAAGGGUAGCUUGGCUUCACCACCCAGCAUGGCCACCAAGGGUUCAUGAGGCCCCUGGACUUGAAAUGGUCCGAAAAGAGAACAGAGAUGGCAUCAGGGAGCACUGGGGGGCAGGAUUUGGGCAGGUGAAGAGGGCUUUGAUUAAACUCAUGAUUGGCCAUUUCCAUCCUCACAAAGUCCUGGGGACAAGGUCUGAAAGGGAUGGCUGCUGGAUGUUGGGAGUCUCUUUUCUGACCUGAACAUACACAUGGAGCUAGGAGGAAGCUGGAGUUGUUGGAAGGAGGAGGUGCAGGCCUAGACUAAGAUGGGGCAAGCAAAGUGCUCAGGGCACAAAAUUGAAAGAGACACCCACUCUCAGGGGUGCAAGUGCCAGGGCUGGCAAGAUCUGGAGAGUGAGUGCCUCUUUAAAUUCUGCCCCCUAGGUGCCUCACUAAUUCAUCCUGUGGGGAGGGACCUGAGGAGUGUGACUGCAGAUGCGGAAUAGAUGUGCUAGCUCCUUCAGAGAAUCAGAGACUCUUGUAAGAAUUCCCACCUGCAACCAGUACUUGCAUCCGGAGGCAGAGGUAGAGCGAGAUGAGGCUGCCAUGAUAGCUGGAGAGACUUGCUGCCUCCUCAGGCUCCCGGCUCCACCUACCUUCUACAUGCUGAUGACUCACUCCAAAGUGUACAUCUUCUGUCCAUAAUUUCUGGGGAUCCAGUGGCGGCAACCUGCUUCUAGAGGGACCAGGAGCUUCGGGACCCCUCUGCCUUGGACCAACAGGAAAAGCAGGUGGCUUCUAUCAUCUCCUGCCUGACUCCCUCCCCCUACCUGGCCGAGACAGGCUUCCCAUAUCCCCUUCUAGAACCCGUCAAUUAGUAG